GUGACUUCUCCAUGCAUUGACGUUUUUUGUUCUCAAAAAUUAAUGUACAAAAUGUAAGGAUUAAAAGUCAAAAACUAACUGAAUAAUUUCUUAUAUUAUAAUUUAAUCAUUAUAAAAUCCAGUUGAAAAUGACUUACCUCAGAAAAAUUGGUUGGCUACUCGUACUUAUUUUCGUAUCAUUUUCAAUAGCUACGUUCUGCUCCUCCUUUUACAUUUUCCUUCUACCGCUAACCAUCUUCAUGGAAUCGCUCAGGCCAGUCACCGAUAUGCUUCUGAUUGGCAUACAGUUUCCACGAUACUGCGUAAUUCAAUUUCUAUCCAAGGACACCCAAAAUACCAGCACGAUGUAAAAGACAAAAUUGUCGAUAGAGAAAGAACAAAGCCUAGAACUUCAUUUAUUAUUUAAACGUUCGUUUAUCCAGAUUGACAUGGGAAAUGAAGGCGAAUAAUAAGGAAAAGUUCAACAGUUACUCUUCAAGAACCUUGAUCUUUUCACGGGACGUCAAUACCGAAUAGUUCUUUUAAAUAUUUUAAGAGUCGAUCAUAUUAGCCCAUCUCAAAAGUUUAAUGUAACCGGUGUCAAACUGUAUUAUCGCUUAGCCUUCGAGAACGUUAAAUUUAUGUAAUGCAUCAUGACGAUUACAAGGAAACUUCAUUAUUGCAUAAUUAGAUUGUAAUAUCCUUUUUAAAAGGUUAAAAAAUAAAGAGGAGCAGCUAAGUAAGAUGUGAUA